rnacentral:rRNA from 1 species
GAUGAACGCUAGCGGCAGGCCAAAUACAUGCAAGUCGAACGAUAUUUUCCAGCUUGCUGGGAGAGAAAGUGGCGCACGGGUGCGUAACGCGUAUGCAACCUACCUUUAUCAGGGGGAUAGCCCGGAGAAAUCCGGAUUAAUACCGCAUAAAAUCACAGAACGGCAUUGUUCAAUGAUCAAACAUUGAUGGGAUAAAGAUGGGCAUGCGUGUCAUUAGCUAGUUGGCGGGGUAACGGCCCACCAAGGCGACGAUGACUAGGGGACCUGAGAGGAUGGCCCCCCACACUGGUACUGAGACACGGACCAGACUCCUACGGGAGGCAGCAGUAAAGAAUAUUGGUCAAUGGAGGCAACUCUGAACCAGCCAUGCCGCGUGCAGGAAGACUGCCCUAUGGGUUGUAAACUGCUUUUAUCCGGGAAUAAACCUCCGAUCGUGAUCGGAGCUGAAUGUACCGGAAGAAUAAGGAUCGGCUAACUCCGUGCCAGCCGCCGCAGUAA